rnacentral:rRNA from 1 species
AGUGAACGCUGGCGGUAGGCCUAACACAUGCAAGUCGAACGGCAGCACAGAGGAGCUUGCUCCUUGGGUGGCGAGUGGCGGACGGGUGAGGAAUACAUCGGAAUCUACUCUGUCGUGGGGGAUAACGUAGGGAAACUUACGCUAAUACCGCAUACGACCUACGGGUGAAAGCAGGGGACCUUCGGGCCUUGCGCGAUUGAAUGAGCCGAUGUCGGAUUAGCUAGUUGGCGGGGUAAAGGCACACCAAGGCGACGAUCCGUAGCUGGUCUGAGAGGAUGAUCAGCCAGACUGGAACUGCGACACGGUCCAGACUCCUACGGGAGGCAGCAGUGGGGAAUAUUGGACAAUGGGCGCAAGCCUGAUCCAGCCAUACCGCGUGGGUGAAGAAGGCCUUCGGGUUGUAAAGCCCUUUUGUUGGGAAAGAAAUCCAGCUGGCUAAUACCCGGUUGGGAUGACGGUACCCAAAGAAUAAGCACCGGCUAACUUCGUGCCAGCCGCCGCCGUAA